AACGAACGCUGGCGGCAUGCCUAACACAUGCAAGUCGAACGAAAACUCCGGGUCUAGUGGCGCACGAGGGCGUAACGCGAGGGAACCUGCACUUAGGUUCGGCCUACCUCCCCGAAAGGGGUGCUAAUACCGGAUAAUGUCUACGGACGAAAGAUAUAUCGCCUUUGGUUGGGCCCUCGUUGGAUUCGCUAGUUGGUAGGGUAAUAGCCUACCACGGCGCCGAUCCCUAGCUGGUCUGAGAGGAGGAUUAGCCACACUGGGACUGAGACACGGCCCAGACUCCUACGGGAGGGGGCAGUGGGUGAUAGUGCACAGCGGGCGGAAGCCUGAACCACCACUGCCGCGUGAGCGAUGAAGUUCUUAGGGUUGUAAAGCGCUUUUACCCGUGAUGAUAAUGACAGUACCGGGAGAAUAAGCUCCGGCUAACUCCGUG
rnacentral:rRNA from 1 species